CGAACGCUGGCGGCGUGCUUAACACAUGCAAGUCGAACGGAAAGGCCCUGCUUUUGUGGGGUGCUCGAGUGGCGAACGGGUGAGUAACACGUGAGUAACCUGCCCUUGACUUUGGGAUAACUUCAGGAAACUGGGGCUAAUACCGGAUAGGAGCUCCUGCUGCAUGGUGGGGGUUGGAAAGUUUCGGCGGUUGGGGAUGGACUCGCGGCUUAUCAGCUUGUUGGUGGGGUAGUGGCUUACCAAGGCUUUGACGGGUAGCCGGCCUGAGAGGGUGACCGGCCACAUUGGGACUGAGAUACGGCCCAGACUCCUACGGGAGGCAGCAGUGGGGAAUAUUGCACAAUGGGCGGAAGCCUGAUGCAGCAACGCCGCGUGCGGGAUGACGGCCUUCGUGUUGUAAACCGCUUUCGCCUGUGACGAAGCGUGAGUGACGGUAAUGGGUAAAGAAGCACCGGCUAACUACGUG
rnacentral:rRNA from 1 species